GACGAACGCUGGCGGCGUGCUUAACACAUGCAAGUCGAACGAGUGGCGAACGGGUGAGUAACACGUGAGUAACCUGCCCCUUCUUCUGGAUAACUGCUUGAAAGGGUAGCUAAUACGGGAUAGUGGGGGAUGGGCUCGCGGCCUAUCAGCUUGUUGGUGGGGUGAUGGCCUACCAAGGCGGUGACGGGUAGCCGGCCUGAGAGGGUGGACGGCCAUACUGGGACUGAGGCACGGCCCAGACUCCUACGGGAGGCAGCAGUGGGGAAUAGUGCACAAUGGGCGCAAGCCUGAUGCAGCGACGCCGCGUGAGGGAUGGAGGCCUUCGGGUUGUAAACCUCUUUCGGUACAGAACGGGUAUGUGCAGAAGAAGCACCGGCUAACUACGUGCCAGCCGCCGCGGUAAUAC
rnacentral:rRNA from 1 species